UACGGGGGGGGCAAGCGUUGUUCGGAAUUACUGGGCGUAAAGGGCGCGUAGGCGGCCUUCUAAGUCAGACGUGAAAUCCCUCGGCUCAACCGAGGAACUGCGUCUGAUACUGGAAGGCUUGAAUCCGGGAGAGGGAUGUGGAAUUCCAGGUGUAGCGGUGAAAUGCGUAGAGAUCGGGAGGAACACCAGCGGCGAAGGCGGCAAACUGGAUAGGCACUGACACUCAACAACGAAAGCGUGGGGAGCAAACAGG
rnacentral:rRNA from 1 species